GGAAUAUUGGUCAAUGGACGGAAGUCUGAACCAGCCAAGUAGCGUGCAGGAUGACGGCCCUAUGGGUUGUAAACUGCUUUUGUGCGGGAAUAAAGUGAGGGACGUGUCCCUUUUUGCAUGUACCGCACGAAUAAGGACCGGAUAAUUCCGUGCCAGCAGCCGCGGUAAUACGGAAGGUCCGGGCGUUAUCCGGAUUUAUUGGGUUUAAAGGGAGCGCAGGCUGAUGAUUAAGCGUGACGUGAAAUGUAGCCGCUCAACGGCUGAACUGCGUCGCGAACUGGUUAUCUUGAGUGAGUUCGAUGUUGGCGGAAUUCGUGGUGUAGCGGUGAAAUGCUUAGAUAUCACGAAGAACGCCGAUUGCGAAGGCAGCCAACAAGGCCUUUACUGACGCUAAAGCUCGAAGGUGCGGGUAUCGAACA
rnacentral:rRNA from 1 species